GCUGGGAGCAGUAGCAUCUUAGCUGCUUCCGGCCGCUGGUCGCAGGGCUGCGGGACUACAAUCUUCGCAUGAAAUGGAAGAGAGGGUGGUGCGGAUAGCUUGAGGAAGGUCUCGCAUCUGGGGCUCGAUCUCGUGCAGAGGAGCAUUUCCGAAGACACUGGCCGCUCCCACAAUGGCUCCGAAGAACCCAGCGACCAGCGGGUUCAUGAGUUUGUUGGGGCUGUCCACUCGGUACCAGCUGCGCAGGGAUGUCAGGACAAAGAAACAAGUUGCCUGGUUCCAGCCCUGCUUCAGCACGGGGCCUGUGGGGCCCCGGUAAGUCCCGGUGUUCCCGCACAAUCUCCUAACCCUGUGGAAGAAUCCCCUGUACUUGGAUUUGGAGAGGUCUGGCCAUGGAUUAACUUCACCUUGAUGGUCUCCAUGGGACAUAGGACCACCACGGCCUCGGCCACGCUAGCUCACUGGCCGCACCGCUGCCCGCCUUGCUGUUCACCAGUCCCUGGGCAUCCCGCAUCUGGUUGCUGAGGAACGCCUGACGCCGCCUUGUGGAUGAAGCCGCAGAGCAGGGAGCUGAGGCUGCGGCCCAGGCCCAGGCUGCCUUGGCUGCGACUGUGUGCCUGCAGGCCCCAUGCCCGGUAUCCGGUGGAUGCGAGUGCUAGUCCAGCUGCAGCUGCAUCUUCACGAACUCGGUGGGGAACGGGAUGCAGAUUUUUUUUUUCUUUUCCUUCCUUCCUUCCUUCCUUCCAACUUCCUUCCUUCCUUCCCCUUUCUUUCUUUCUUUUUUUUUUUUUUUUUUUUUUGACAGAAUUUUGCUCUUGUCCCCCAGGCUGGAGUGCAGUGGCGCGAUCUUGGCUCACUACAACCUGGAUUCAAGCGAUUCUCCUGCCUCAGCCUCCCGAGUAGCUGGGAUUACAGGCAUGUGCCACCAUUCCCGGCUAAUUUUUUUGUCUUUUUAGUAGAGACGGUGUUUCCCCAUGUUGGUCAGGCUGGUCUCAAACGCCUGACUCAGAUGAUCCGCCCGCCUCGGCCACCCAAAGUGCUGAGAUUACAGGCUUGAACCACCGCGCCUGGCCCUGUGAUGUAGAUUUUGAUGCUGCCAGCCAGGCUGCCUGCCGGGAUCGCCUGCCCUGGAGCAGGAGCAUCAGCCGUGCGUUCCAGGACGCAGGCAUGGCAUGACCGGCAGGAGGCGGAGUGCCCGGCGUCUCUUGGGAUCGGAGCCUCCUGAAUUCCAC
rnacentral:lncRNA from 1 species